rnacentral:rRNA from 1 species
UACGAAGGGUGCAAGCGUUACUCGGAAUUACUGGGCGUAAAGGGUGCGUAGGUGGUCGUUUAAGUCCGUUGUGAAAUCCCUGGGCUCAACCUGGGAAUGGCAAUGGAAACUGGCGGGCUAGAGUGUGGCAGAGGGGGGUGGAAUUCCGCGUGUAGCAGUGAAAUGCGUAGAGAUGCGGAGGAACACCGAUGGCGAAGGCAGCCCCCUGGGCUGACACUGACGCUCAGGCACGAAAGCGUGGGGAGCAAACAGG